rnacentral:lncRNA from 1 species
GUUUUGUAGCCAAGUAGUGGGCAUAUUGCAAUCCAAACUUGGGUAUUUUAUUAGUUUGGUAGCCAUUUAUCCGAACACUGAGGCCCGCUCUUAAAAGACGGCCCGCACCAAAAAGCACUGUUCCUCUACGUAAUUGAAACCCGGGGUCACCCUCGGUUCUAUUUCCAGGUGUGCUACAGUAGUAGCUGCUAUUUUGAUGUGUACAAUUUUACCCACUAUUUCAAAGUAAAAAAAAAAAUCAAACUUUCAUUUCUCUCUCUCGUUUUUGG